GACGAACGCUGGCGGCGUGCUUAACACAUGCAAGUCGAACGGAAAGGCCCUGCUUUUGUGGGGUGCUCGAGUGGCGAACGGGUGAGUAACACGUGAGUAACCUGCCCUUGACUUUGGGAUAACUUCAGGAAACUGGGGCUAAUACCGGAUAGGAGCUCCUGCUGCAUGGUGGGGGUUGGAAAGUUUCGGCGGUUGGGGAUGGACUCGCGGCUUAUCAGCUUGUUGGUGGGGUAGUGGCUGACCAAGGCUUUGACGGGUAGCCGGCCUGAGAGGGUGACCGGCCACAUUGGGCCUGAGAUACGGCCCAGACUCCUACGGGAGGCAGCAGUGGGGAAUAUUGCACAAUGGGCGGAAGCCUGAUGCAGCAACGCCGCGUGCGGGAUGACGGCCUUCGGGUUGUAAACCGCUUUCGCCUGUGACGAAGCGUGAGUGACGGUAAUGGGUAAAGAAGCACCGGCUAACUACGUG
rnacentral:rRNA from 1 species